rnacentral:rRNA from 1 species
UACGUAGGUGGCAAGCGUUGUCCGGAAUUACUGGGUGUAAAGGGAGCGCAGGCGGGAAGGCAAGUCCGCGGUGAAAACUAUGGGCUCAACCCGUAGACUGCCGGUGAAACUGUUUUUCUUGAGUGAAGUAGAGGCAGGCGGAAUUCCGAGUGUGGCGGUGAAAUGCGUAGAUAUUCGGAGGAACACCAGUGGCGAAGGCGGCCUGCUGGGCUUUUACUGACGCUGAGGCUCGAAAGUGUGGGGAGCAAACAGG